GUGCUUGCUUUGGCAGCACAUAUACUAAAAUUGGAACCCUACCAAGAAGAUUAGCAUGCCCCCUGCACAAGGAUAACAGCUGGAUGCUGACAGGAAAAGAGGAGUUUU
ensembl:snRNA U6 U6 spliceosomal RNA